ACAUGGCUCGCACCAAGCAGACG
rnacentral:piRNA from 1 species